rnacentral:rRNA from 1 species
GAGCGAACGCUGGCGGCAGGCCUAACACAUGCAAGUCGAACGGACCUUUCGGGGUUAGUGGCGGACGGGUGAGUAACACGUGGGAACGUGCCUUUAGGUUCGGAAUAAGCUCGGGAAACUGGGUCUAAUACCGAAUGUGCCCUUCGGGGGAAAGAUUUAUCGCCUUUAGAGCGGCCCGCGUCUGAUUAGCUAGUUGGUGGGGUAAUGGCCCACCAAGGCUACGAUCAGUAGCUGGUCUGAGAGGAUGACCAGCCACAUUGGGACUGAGACACGGCCCAAACUCCUACGGGAGGCAGCAGUGGGGAAUCUUGCGCAAUGGGCGAAAGCCUGACGCAGCCAUGCCGCGUGUAUGAUGAAGGUCUUAGGAUUGUAAAAUACUUUCACCGGUGAAGAUAAUGACUGUAGCCGGAGAAGAAGCCCCGGCUAACUUCGUG